GGGGGACCCACUGUGUCUGGACAUGUCUGGAUGUGUGCUUGUCUGCAGUGGGAUCUCUGCUCGAUGCCCUGCUGCUGAGAAAUCACUGGGAAAAGCCAGGGCGCCCAGUGCUGACCCUCACAGGCUCUCCCAGGGUGCCCAGUGCUGACCCUCAGAGGCUCUCCCAGCACGUUCCCUCUGGACACCCGCACUGCCUGGGUGCUCCCUCCAGCUGUUGCUCCUCAUAAGUUGUGUCAAUACAAAGAGAAAACUCGGCAAGCAGCAACAGUGUGAACGCAGCCACUGCCCGAUGCCAAGAGCUGUGGCAGCUUUGACUUGCAAAGGGAAGAGAGGCACAGACAGCCCCAUAACCGGCUCUGAGAUUGGGUUAGUAGUCCUUAUUCGAGUAUUGACCUGUGGCCACAGCUCUGGGAUCUGAAAUCCCAAAAGGCACUAAAAUCCAAACGUUGUGUUUAUUCAGUUUUUUUUAAAAAAUGGUGGUGAAAUAAACAAUAAAAUACAUUACCUUA
rnacentral:lncRNA from 1 species